GGAGCACGGGGUGAUCUGGGCACUAACGCUGAUGGGGAGCAGCGGACAUCAGCCUCGACCUCCCACGAGCGGUGCACGAGCGCCUGACCCAGACCUCGACCCUAGCCUUCACCCCCACCCUGACUCCAGUUCAUGAACUGGUCAAAGGAAGAGCCAUGCCAGCAAACGUCUACACUGUACAUGCUUUUUAUUACAAGACUACGGAGCAUAGGAGGAAAAUUCAUCAUCUGGAAAAGAACUACAGCCUGUGUGGGUCCCCUCCCGACAAUUAAAAUUGCACCAUAACUCCAAAGAUGAAACGCUCCCAGAAAGAAAAGGCAAAGACCCAUCGGAAACAAAAGAGCAACUUUCACCGCCUGAUACAUACACUUCAUGACAUCCACAUUGAGACAAAAUCUCGCCGUGUGACCUACAACACCUCUCGUUCAACCCCACCUACUUGGGGUCGAAUACAGAUUUUAUCUCAUCAAACAGAAAAAUUCUUAACAGAAAAAGGAAUCCCAAAAAUGACUGGUAAUAUAAUUCUGGCUGCCUUUAUGGUAGUCAGUGCAGCGUCUGCAGAUGCCUCUAAGGAGUCCGAAACCAAGUCCGAAGUCAACAACAAGCAAUGAUGGCGAUGGCGAUUCUAGUUAAUAAAAAGGGGGGAGAUGUGGGCGGCAAGCCACCCAGGCACCGAGGCAAGAGACAGAGGACACGAGCUGUUCCAGUAUAAUAAAAUAUAAAACAAGAAUAGUUAUACCAGAUAUAGAUCUUAGAUAUGAUUAUAUACGAAUAUCAUUAAUCAUGAGUUUGUAGCAAUUACUUUUUAUUCCAAUAUUAUGAUAAUCCUCGCUCUAUAAUCAUAGCCUAGGAAAAACCAGGCCAUACAGAGAUAGGAGCUGAGGGGACAUAGUGAAGUGUGACCAGAAGACAAGAGUGCGAGCCUUCUGUUAUGCCCGGACAGGGCCACCAGAGGGCUCCUUGGUCUAGCGGUGACGCCAGCGUCUGGGAAGACACCCGUUACCAGGCGGAUCGUGGCCCAGCCGUAGCAAAAGGUGUCAAGGAACACCUUUUGCAAAAGGUGUCAACACCCGCUACUUAGCAGACUGGGAAAGGGGGGCGGUCUCCCUUUCCCCGGGGGAGUUUAGAGAAGACUCUGUUCCUCCACCUCUUGUGGAGGGCCUGACAUCAGUCAGGCUUGCCCGUAGUUAUCCGGAGGCCUAACUGUCUCCCUGUGAUGCUGUGCUUCAGUGGUCACGCUCCUAGUCUGCCUUCAUUUUCCAUCCUGUACACCUGGCUCUGCCUUCUAGAUAGCAGUAGUAAAUUAGUGAAAAUACUAAUAGUCCCUGAUAUGCAGAAAUAAUGGCAUAAGCUGUCUUUCUCUCUGUCUCCUCUCCCUCUCUGCCUCGGCUGCCAGGCAGGGAAGGGCCCCCUGUCCAGUGGACACAUGACCCAUGUGACCUUACCUAUCAUUGGAGGUGACUCACAUUCUUUACCCUGCCCCUUCUGCCUUGUAUCCAAUAACAGCGCAGUCAGACAUUCAGGGCCACUACCGGUCUCCGCACAUUGGUGGUAGUGGUCCCCCGGGCCCAGCUGCCUUUUCUCUUAUCUCGUUGUCUUGUGUCUUUAUUUCUACACUCUCUCAUCGCCACACACAGGGAGAGACCCACCGACCCUGUGGGGCUGGUCCCUACAAGAGGGAAGUGGUUUGUUCUGCUCUUCUGAGAUGUGUUCUUAUGAGAAGGAUCCAGCAGCAGCCUGCAGAGAUGUGGGGCCUGAAAAGAGGCCUUGGGCAGCUCUUCUCAACAGGUCUUGGCCCUCUAGACUGCCUUCAGCACAGUUUUGGGGAGAAACAGGGAGUGUUCCUUUUUCAAUCUAUGCGCUCAUCCCCUGAGCCGCCUGACCCAGGGUUUAGAUGCUCCAGGGCAGCUGAUUGACACCGGUGGGAGAUGGAGUCUGGCAAGCAGGUGAUGAACUGGGAAGCGCUGCAGAAAUGAGGGGGCAAGCGUGGCCAGUCCCUUCUGAGAGGAUGUGUUUGGAAGAGAGUGGGCACUGGCGUGGCACUUUCCCCUUCUGUGGAAAUGGACUUGGACAGGAUGCCACGUAGUGCUGCAGUUCUGUGUGGGGCAGGUUGUGGCUGCAGAGAAGCACUGGGUGCAGAAACAGUCCCCCAAGCAGGUGCGAGGGUCAGGGUGCUCUAUGCUGCUCCACACCUGCCGUGCGAUGACAUGUGGUCACCGGGCUGCCCAGCACAGUUGUUUAGAAAGCAGGUUCAAAGGGCAGUGUGCUGGGAGGAAGUGCUGCUGUGGAAACUGCAAGUUUUGGACAUGAGUUGCUCAGGUCUUUUCAGCCGUUCAUUCUUCUACAACAGAAUUGCAUUAUUCACUUGCUCAGUGUGAUACCAUGUCCUUUAAAAAAUUAUUUGAAUAUUGAGAACAGGUUGUAUGUUCCGUCUCUAGCUGCUAGAUCACAGGCAGGGCACAUCUUCUCAAAGAGUAACAAGGCAUGGGUUGUGUGUGUUCUCUUCUCUUAGUGAGGAGAAAGGCCUGUUUGGGUUCAUGAUGAUUGUUGGGGUCUCUUUUCUGUACCUGAUGUUGGUUGCACAAAGUCCGUUUCCAUUCUCUUAGUCUAGACAAUUUUCCUGAUAUUUAAACUGGAAUUUUUGCUCCAAGAAAUUCCAGGUCAUUUAGAAUGUGUUAAGAUUGAGUUUCUGGGCUACACAUCCUUAUAAGAGCACCCGAUUCUGGUUUCUGUUUAUUUAUUUAUUUUUUCGAGACAGUCUCGUUCUGUCACGCAGGCUGGAGUACAGUGGCAUGAUUUUGGCUCACUGCAACCUCUGCCUCAUGGGUUCAAGUGAUUCUCGUGCUUCAGGCUCCCAAGUAGCUGGGAUUACAGGUGCGCACCACCUACAUUAUUUAUUUAUUUAAUUUAUUUAUUGAGAUGAGGUCUCACUAUGUUGCCCAGGCUACUCAAACUUCUGGUCUCAAGGGAUCCUCCCGCCUCGGCCUCCCAAAGUGCUGGGAUUACAGGCAUGAGCCACCGCACACAGCCUGAUUUCUGUUUAAAGAGUUGGAUUAUACAGGGACCCACAGAAUUGGGAACUGACAGUACUGUAGAGCCUGUGUAUGAAAAAGAUGGACAAGCCUGACAUUAGCAGCUCACUGUUGAGCACACGGCCCCCUGCAGAAUAAACAAGUGUGUGGUUUCCAUCUGAUGAAGGUGGGCAUGUAGUUCCUGGACAGUCCAGUGACUUCCAUCAUUCCACAGACAAGAUCAGAUGCCCUCUCUACCAGCCACCGUGCUGGGACCGGCCCAAUCUGUGUUUCAAAUCAGCUUGUAGCACGCAGGGAUUCAAAAUAUUUAAAGAUGAGGUUUGAAGGUACGUCUGGAGACCAAGGACGUUAGUUCUGGAGGUCCCCGUCUCCUGCGUGUUUGCGGAGCUGGUGACAGUGCCCUCUCCCCGUGCUGGAGAGGGCUGAGGAGAGGCUGUGUGUCUCAGCAGGAUGCCAGUCAGGAUUCUUCUGGCUAUGGGCUUAUUUUUUGCAAUAAAUUCAUCGUUAAAGUCCCAUUCUUUAACCUGUUUUUUCCCUUUUGGAAUUAAUUCGACUGCAGUAGGAAGGGGUUGUAGCUGAAAGUGACCGCUGUGCAUUGAAUGCCAUCAGAAAAGGCUGAUGAGAUUUGCAGGGAAGACUUGAAGCCUCACUGAAAUGCGCCUGGCGUGUGUUGACCUUUGCAGUGGAACAUGUGGGAAAGGGGCCCGCACUCACUUUUCAGUUCUGCCUCGGUGAUUCCAGGAGCCCCGGGGUUGGGAGCGGGGACAGGACCUUGCUCCUGAGUCUUAGGUGUGGUGUCUCUCGCCCCUUGCUGCAUUGGCGGGACCCUCGGUGCCGCGGCCUCAGUUGCAGGGCGGCCAGGGCUGCUCCGUGAAGGAGGCGCUCACUCCAUGGAGCUGCAGGACGCUGCAUUCUCCUCACUCUGGCCAUUGCCGCUGUCCUUCCUGCUUCCCCUUUUCUGGUGAGGGAGGGCUCCAAGGACUUGCUGGCUGGUCCCCAGAUGCCAGCACUCCUGCAUCUUCCCCUCCUCUCCUGGCCUGUCACUUUGUUCCUCCUCUGUGAGGGGCCCAGGCUCGGAUGCCCGGCCACGGCCUCUCUUUCCAGCCUGUGCGGCCCAGGUGGGUCCAGGAUGUUCCCUGCUGCCCUGUUCUCAGCAGUUCUUGUCUUCUUCAGGCUUUUCCUCCUUGCCUAGAGAAAUUUCCCUACAUGGAAACCCCUGUGGCUGUACAGUCUUUUCUGACCAAUCUGCUGGGUUUUUUGUUUUUUGUUUUUGAGACAGAAUCUUGCUCUGUCGCCCAGGCUGGAGUGCAUUGCAGUGAAAGUGGCAAUAUCUGGCAUUUGUAGAUGGAAGCUGGAACUCAGUACAGGUGGGAACGUAAGCGCCUGUCGUUGCUGAGGUGGGGCAGCAGUCAGUUGCCAGCGCGUGUUCAAACACAGGCUGAUUCAACAGUUCCCGUUCUGGGAAUUUAAGAUCGGAAAAUAAUUAAAGUGUAUGCAAAGAUUUUGCUACUAGAAUAUUUGUCACAGCUUUGAAAUAGGGGAGAACUGGAAAUAUCUUGAAUUUCCCUCAGGCAGAGAUAGGUAGAAACAUUGUGGUGAAGUCUGUGUCGUCCCUCAGGAUCUGUGGGAAAUUGGUCCCAGGACCUCUCUCAGAUACCAGAGUCGGAGGGUGCUGAAGCCCUUGCUCUGAAGUGGUAUAGUGUUUGCAUAUAAUCUGUGCACACCCUCCUGUGUACUCUGUCAUCACCAGAUUACAUAUAAUGCCUAAUGUAAUGUAAAUGCUAUGUAAAUAGUUGCUUUACUAUAUUCUUUAGGGAAUAAUGACAAGAAAAAAAGUCUGUGCAUGUUCAGUACAGAUGCAAUUUCUUGUUUUUCUAAUAUUUUCUAUCCACUGUUGGUUGAAUCCAUGCAUGUGGAGUCAACCUAUGGAUGGGGAUGGCAGACUGUACUCUCCUGACAGGUGGUUACAAAGUAUUUCUAUCUGAAAAGAGCUGGCUGCAAAGCAGCAUGCCCAGUAUAACUUUCCUCAGGCCCAGGGAAAAGCUUGGAGGGAGGUUCCCACAGAAACAUUAGCAGUGGUUUCCUGGGCCAGUGGGAUAAGGACCAGGCAUUGUGCUAGCAGUGGAGAAACAGUGGUGAAUAAGGUAGGUCUGGCUCUGUCUCCUGGAGCUUACUGGACUGAAGAUGAACCUUUCUCCACUAAUUUUUAUUCUGAAAAAUUUCAAAACUAAAGAAGAGUUGAACGCAUAGUACAAUGAAUAUCCCUAGCCUUUCACCUGGAUUCUACCAGUUGUUAACCUUUUCCAUAUUUGCUUGUAUAUGUUACCCUCUCACCUCCCCAAAUUUUUUUCUAUUAUUUUUAUUAUUUGAAAGUAAGUCACACACAUGAUAGCAUUUCACCCCAGAAUCCUUCUCCAGGUGCCUUCUGAGCUCAGAAGCUGUCUCCUCUACAACCUCAUCAUUAUCACAUCCGAGAUAGAAUUAACAUUGCAUUUUCUUUUUUUUUUUUUUUUUGUUUUUUUGAGAUGGAAUCUCAUGCUGUUGCCCAGGCUGGAGUGCAGUACUUUGAUUUUGGCUCAUUGAAACCUCCACCUCCUGGGUUCAAGUGAUUCACCUGCCUCAGCCUCCCAAGUGGCUGGGACUACAAGUGUGUACCACCGUGCCUGGCUAAUUUUUGUAUUUUUAGUAGAGAUGGAGUUUUAUCAUAACAUGGCAUUUUCUAAUGCAAAGGUGACAUGCAGCCUUCCUCAGUGGUCCCCAGUCCUCCUCAAAGUCCUUUAUAGAGACAGUUUUACUCUGUUGCCCAAACUGGAAUGCAGUGGUGUGAUCAUAGCUCACUGCAGCCUUGAACUCCCCUGGGCUCAAGCCAUCCCCCAGCCUUAGCCUCCUGAGUUGCUGGGACUACAGGCCUGUGCCGCCACACCUAGCUAAUCUUUUUUUUUUUUUUUUUUGAGAUGGAGUCUCAAACUUGUCACCCAGCCUGGAGUGCAGUGGCACGAUCUUGGCUCACUGCAACAUCCGCCUCCCAGUUUCACGCCAUUCUCCUGCCUCAGCCUCCUGAGUAGCUGAGAUUACAGGCAUGCGUCACCAUGCCUGGCUAAUUUUGUAUUUUUAGUAGAGACGCGUUUCCACCAUAUUGGCCAGGCUGGUCUUGAACUCCUGACCUCGUGAUCCAGCCUCCUUGGCCUCCUAAAGUGCUGGGAUUACAGGCGUGAGCCACUGCACCCAGCCUAAUUUUUGUAUUUUUAGUAGAGGCAGGGUUUCACCAUGUUGGUCACGCUGGUGUUGAACUCCUGACCUCACAUGAUCCACCCAACUUGGCCUCCCAAAGUGCUGGGAUUAGAGGCAUGAGCCACCAUGCCCAAUCUCUGCACCAUGCCCAGUAUCCCUUAGUGGCCCUUCUGACUUUACACUGCUUUUCCCUCCUGACAGCGGGGCCCUGCUUUCGUGGUCUGUAUCCUGCUUGAGCAAGGUGCCAUGAGGCUUUUCCUAGGCCUUGACUUUGCUGUAGCUUCUAAGGUGUCCUGUGGCGGCAAAAGGGACGUGUGCUCUGUGGGUGGGUGCAGCCACCUGUAGAGCUGCAGCUAUAUCCCCAGGAUGGUUGUGUGACUGAUGGUCCUUGGGGAGCCCAGCAGUGAGGAUCUCAGCAGCCCACCUGUCUCAGAGUCCCCGCUGUGCACCCAGGCCCAGGGCUCAGUGAGUGAGAGCUCUCCGACCUCGGUGGGGGCGGGGCUAAUUGACCUUCAGACCCACCGUGUGCCAGUGCUGGCUGGCACACAGCACUGCUUGGACUUCCCCUGUGGGAAAGGAUGGGGACAGAUCAGUCUUUGGAAGAAUGGAGCGCUGGCUUUGCUCAGCCCUGUUCUUGGGAAGGUUUGAUCUGGAGAGCCGCAGCAGCCAGACCCUGGGGAGGCAGGUUAGUGAGCAGGCUCCCAACUUACGAGCUAGGAAGGCUGACGGCUGUUCAUUUCCCCCCAUGUGGACCUCAUCGGGGGUCCUUCCUGAGGGCGAGCGCUAGGUUCGUCUGCGUUUCUCUCUCCCAGUUGGGCCUGACUCUGGACGCCAGGCUGAGGGAGUACACAGCUCCUUCAGAGCACGGGCUCAGACGCUCAGAUGCUCGGAGCGCUUCCGGCUGCUUUUCCAUGGGUAACUCACAUGUUCUUCCUGCAGGCUGGCAUUUGUCUUUCAUGGCUUUUUUCCAUCGGUCAGAAUUACAGUCUUUUGAUUGUAUGUACGUACCUG
rnacentral:lncRNA from 1 species